UACGGAGGGUGCAAACGUUGCUCGGAAUCAUUGGGCGUAAAGCGCACGUAGGCGGCUCGUUAAGUCGGAUGUGAAAGCCCCGGGCUCAACCCGGGAAGUGCAUUCGAAACUGGCGAGCUUGAAUAUGGAAGAGGAUCGCGGAAUUCCCGGUGUAGAGGUGAAAUUCGUAGAUAUCGGGAGGAACACCAGUGGCGAAGGCGGCGAUCUGGGCCAAUAUUGACGCUGAGGUGCGAAAGCGUGGGGAGCAAACAGG
rnacentral:rRNA from 1 species